rnacentral:rRNA from 1 species
UACAGAGGGUGCAAGCAUUGAUCGGAAUUACUGGGCGUAAAGGGCGCGUAGGCGGUUAGAAAAGUCAGAUGUGAAAUUCCGGGGCUCAACCUCGGAGCUGCAUUUGAAACUUUUUAGCUAGAGUUCAGUUAGGGAAAACGGAAUUCCACAUGUAGCGGUGAAAUGCGUAGAUAUGUGGAGGAACACCGGUGGUGAAGACGGUUUUCUGGGCUGAUACUGACGCUGAGGCGCGAAAGCAAGGGGAGCAAACAGG